AGUGCACAAAACGUAAAUCACUUUUCUAAGUACUAGUGCCGCAGGAUAUGGUUGCUAUGAUAAAAGCUCCUGCUGCCCAAGUGCUUAUCAAAGAGAUUAAGUGAACCACGUG
rnacentral:pre_miRNA from 1 species